CGCCCCUCUUGCGCUGGAGCUGCCGCAGCGCCCCCUGCCGGCGGAGCUGGCGCAGACCGAGGGACCCACCGCGCAGUGCUCAGAACCUGGGCUUUGGUUUUGACUGUUUACCCUUGAGCUGAAAUGCGGCAGUCAAGCUCCAUGUCUAUUGGUAGCGAGUGAUUCCUUGUUAAAGACAGGAGAAAGGAUUUCUCUAUGAUAAAUACAGGACUUACUGAAAAUUGAACUAGUCAAAGCCGGGUGUGGCAGUGCGCACCUGCAAUCCCACCACUCCAGGAGGCUGAGGCAGGAGGACCACAAGCGUGAAGCCCGGCUUUCAUUGGGAAACUUCGCGACUUACUGAGACCCGCUCUCGGAUUUCUUUAAAAAGGCAAAAGGGUGGGGGAUGUAGCUCAGUGCAAAGGGUCUGGGUUCAAACCCGCUACCAAAGCAAGAGACUUCAUCUUCCCAGGAAGAGGGAGACAAACUUCAUCUUGCAUCUCUGCCAAGUGUUAGGUCAUCUCGGUGCUCAGCGAGGCUGUGGCGCCGGAGUCGGGUUGCUGGGUCUCCCUGGAGAAUCUUCCGGGCCCGGGUCGGCGCAGGCUAACUGGGAAGCCAGCCCCGCGGCCCCGAGGCCACCACCACCCUGCUGUGGACACGGGACUGUUCAGCUCAGCCGGAGUGGGAUCUCGCAGGAGCAUUCGGGAGCCAUGGGCGGGCUAACUGGAAGUACAGUGGACCCUUGACUUAGGGACGUGAUCAGUUCCGGAGGGCUGGUUGUAACUCAAGUUGGUGGAAACAGUUGCGGAGCACUGACUGCCGGCCCGGUCCGGCUCCGGAGGCUGGAGAUGUAAGAAGAAGCAGCAGAGCGGAUUUUCUGUCCCUCAGUUCCCAGGACAGUGUGGCACAGUGGCUGAUGCUGGUGCCGAAGUCAGAGGAUCAGAGCUUCAGGCUGGGACAUAUCUGGAUCCUGCUGCAGCAAAUAUUCACAGUAUUUCUACAGACAGCCAGGACAGAGCUUUGAACAGGCGGUUCACCGAAUCCAGCAGUGUGCUGGUCCUGGCUUACCAACCAGCUGCUUGGAAAAGAGCAGAAGUCCUCAGUUACAGACAGAUCAUCAGACUAUAUCUGUCAAAGAUCUCAGUGAAUGUGGAAAGUGUCGUGAAAAUGAGAAGCCGUUCAAAACAAGCAGAACAGAAUAACCUGGUGAGGAGAACAUGCAGGAGGCACCACCAAGUGGCAGAGGCAGGCGGCUUGCAAGACACACGGCUUUCAUCCUGAGAACAACGGAACUACUGAAGGAACUUAGCGAAGAAGGGAUGGGCAGGGGUGACAGUGGGACUUAUCCAUGUGGCUUUUGGCUUAGAGACGCAGGACAGGUGGCAGCUCUGUCCUGAAAUGGGAGCAGGAGACGCAGACUAAGCUGCAAUUGGGAGUAGGCACUGAGGGGAGGGCCGAGGCUCAGGGGGUUUGGAUUCAACUCCUCAGUGUAAAGUUGACAACCGGUGAGGUUGUACAGGAGACAGGGACAGAGGAGCUCAGACUGUGAAAGGACAGGCAGAGAAAAGCCCUGGCCCGCCCCCCAAAAUGGUCAGAGAGGUAGCUGGAAAAUCAGAAAUAGACGACAUAUUAAAACUUGUAGCAGGCUGGGGAUGUAGCCUGGUGGUAAAGCAUGCAUGAAGCCCUGGAUUACACACACACACACACACACACACACACACACACACAUAACUUGCUCACUGCUCCCACACAUGCUCAUUGCUUGGGUCCUGUUAUUAGAAAUAAGUUUACUUAUGACAAAAUGUGACUUGUUUAUAUAUGAAACAAGCAGCGAUUCCUCAUUUGGAUCACAGGGCU
rnacentral:lncRNA from 1 species